AGAGAAACUUAAUACUCCCAAUUCAAAACGCAGAUGGCACCACGCGAGGUCAGAGAAAGAGGCAAGAAGUUUUAGUCAACCUGUCUUUGAUUAUUGGCUUGCCAUAUGCAGUCUACGUGUACUUGAUCAUCGCUUAACUUUUUAGCCUGUUUCUCAUGUAUGAAACGAGAAUAAUGAUAUCCAGCUCAUGGGUUGUUUAAAGGAAUACAUGACAUGAUAAGGUGAAGAGGAACAGAUGCUGCCAUGAAAGGGGUUUCCUAGAAAGUGGUGAAGAGACCAUAGCCUAAUGCAAGUAGAGAAUUGGGACCAGGAAAAAUAAAGCCAUGAAAUAAUGAGUCUGCUGUAUUAGAGUAAUGUGGAACAAGUGACAAUUUCAUUUUUUAAGAAUGCUGUUUGUACAAACAACCCCAUCAAAAAGUGGGCAAAGGACAUGAACAGACACUUCUCAAAAGAAGACAUUUAUGC
rnacentral:lncRNA from 1 species